GUGAUCUCAUACGAACAACACAGAACUUGGAAGGGCAUUAAAGAUACAUCAGUAAAAAUACUGACACCGUGUGGACAAAAUCGUUGGUGAACGAAUAUGCCAAAUAGCUCAUGGGCAAAUACCCGAUGGUAUGCUCCCAGCCUGCUGCCAUCCUAGCACAUUUACCACAGCCUGGUCCGGGAUCCUUCCCCAUGGAAGGAGACUGAUCCUUCCUGGUCUAUGAGGACACUGAGGAUGCUGGUGGGGACAUCGAGAGACAGAGCAAAGCGGGACCCCUGCUGGGCUCUCUUGGGGAUCUGGGACGCCGGGCGUGGAGCUCUGACUUGCCGGAGGGUUGGAUGGUACUCUGGGGGGAACAGGGUGCGCAGGACACCGCUGUGGUUUAGGACGUCAACAGCCACUAGGUCCGUCUCUGUGUCCUCGCCCAAAUCGGCACUGGCAGAGCCUCUUCUCUGGCACUGGAUGCACCAGGGAAGCAGCAAAGCCAAGGCUAAACACAAACGCAUGCCCUGCAUGGUCAGCACUCUUGGUCUAGGGA